rnacentral:rRNA from 1 species
GCACAAGCAGCGGAGCAUGUGGCUUAAUUCGAAGCAACGCGAAGAACCUUACCAGGUCUUGACAUCCCGAUGCUAUUCUAGAGAUAGAAAGUUACUUCGGUACAUCGGUGACAGGUGGUGCAUGGUUGUCGUCAGCUCGUGUCGUGAGAUGUUGGGUUAAGUCCCGCAACGAGCGCAACCCCUAUUGUUAGUUGCCAUCAUUCAGUUGGGCACUCUAGCGAGACUGCCGGUAAUAAACCGGAGGAAGGUGGGGAUGACGUCAAAUCAUCAUGCCCCUUAUGACCUGGGCUACACACGUGCUACAAUGGUUGGUACAACGAGUCGCGAGUCGGUGACGGCGAGCUAAUCUCUUAAAGCCAAUCUCAGUUCGGAUUGUAGGCUGCAACUCGCCUACAUGAAGUCGGAAUCGCUAGUAAUCGCGGAUCAGCACGCCGCGGUGAAUACGUUCCCGGGCCUU